ACGGAAGGCAGCAGUGGGGAAUAUUGCGCAAUGGGGGAAACCCUGACGCAGCGACGCCGCGUGAGUGAAGAAGUAUUUCGGUAUGUAAAGCUCUAUCAGCAAGGAAGAUAAUGACGGUACUUGACUAAGAAGCCCCGGCUAACUACGUGCCAGCAGCCGCGGUAAUACGUAGGGGGCAAGCGUUAUCCGGAUUUACUGGGUGUAAAGGGAGCGUAGACGGUUCGGCAAGUCUGAUGUGAAAGCCCGGGGCUCAACCCCGGGACUGCAUUGGAAACUGUCGAACUAGAGUGCAGGAGAGGUAAGUGGAAUUCCUAGUGUAGCGGUGAAAUGCGUAGAUAUUAGGAGGAACACCAGUGGCGAAGGCGGCUUACUGGACUGUAACUGACGUUGAGGCUCGAAAGCGUGGGGAGCAAACAGGAUUAGAUACCCUGGUA
rnacentral:rRNA from 1 species